rnacentral:rRNA from 1 species
GACGGAGGAUGCAAGCGUUAUCCGGAAUGAUUGGGCGUAAAGCGUCCGCAGGUGGCAGUUCAAGUCUGCUGUCAAAGACCGGGGCUUAACUUCGGAAAGGCAGUGGAAACUGAACAGCUAGAGUAUGGUAGGGGCAGAGGGAAUUCCUGGUGUAGCGGUGAAAUGCGUAGAGAUCAGGAAGAACAUCGGUGGCGAAGGCGCUCUGCUGGACCAUAACUGACACUCAGGGACGAAAGCUAGGGGAGCGACUGGG